rnacentral:rRNA from 1 species
GACGAACGCUGGCGGCGUGCUUAACACAUGCAAGUCGAGCGGUGCUGCCAACGGGUGAGUAACGCGUGAGUAACUGCCCCCCUCUCUGGGCUAACAGUUGGAAACGGCUGCUAAUACCCGAUAUCGGGGGAUGACUCGCGUCCUAUGAGCUUGUUGGUGGGGUAGUGGCCUACCAAGGCGACGACGGGUAGCCGGCCUGAGAGGGCGACCGGCCACAUUGGGCUGAGAUACGGCCCAGACUCCUACGGGGGGCAGCAGUGGGGAAUAUUGCACAAUGGGGGAAACCCUGAUGCAGCAACGCGCGGGCGGGAUGACGGCCUGCGGGUUGUAAAACGCUUUCAGCAAUGACGCGGUAGUGGCAGAAGAAGCACCGGCUAACUACGUGCCAGCAGCCGCGGUAAUAC